AUCAUUAAUGUAAUUGAUGUUCGACGAGGUUGUUGCUGGCCGAUUGUGCAUGUGCACGCCUUGCCGUCUUGUCCAUUCGUCACACCUGUGCACCAUUGUAGCUGGGGGGGAUGAUCACGGGAUCGUUGCAGAUCCCGAAUGCCCCUCGCUAUGAACGUUGUUAUAACGCCCUCGGUAAAAAGUAGAUUUGGAAUGUUAUUGGAAAAUGAAAUACAACUUUCAGCAACGGAUCUCUUGGCUCUCGCAUCGAUGAAGAACGCAGCGAAAUGCGAUAAGUAAUGUGAAUUGCAGAAUUCAGUGAAUCAUCGAAUCUUUGAACGCACCUUGCGCUCCUUGGUAUUCCGAGGAGCAUGCCUGUUUGAGUGUCAUAAAAUUCUCAACUGCUUUGGCUUGGUUUCAAAGUGAAGUUGGACUUGGAGUGCUUGCUGGGCUGUGUCCGGCUCCUCCCAAUAGCAUUAUUUAUAUAUCCAUCUCGGUAUAUAUCUCGGCAAGAAGUAUCUUCGACGUGAUAACAUUUUAUGUUGUAGAGAAAGCCUUGAUAGUGGAGAGAGGCCUUCCCUCUUUCCUUGCCACGAUGUCUUAUCGACCUCAAAUCAGGCAGGAUCACCCGCUGAACUUAAGCAUAUCAU
rnacentral:sRNA from 1 species